UAUCAGCUCCAAAAUCAAGAGUUGGACACUUAACCAAACGAGCCACCCACGUGCUCCAAGUUGUGUAUUUCUAAAGCUAUGUUUAAAAAAAAAAAGAGUGCCUAUGCCCCUAACUGGCAAUUCCCUCCCGGCGUGUGGGGCAGGGGAACCAGCCCAAGUUACUGGGCAGAGAAGAAAGAAGCUUCUUAGGAAAUCCCUGUGAGCUAUAAAGGAAGUGAGGACACAGAAAAUGCAGAGCCUCAAUAACCCCCUAUGAACCACAGAAGCCUCUAAAUUUCCAUUGGAGGUUUUGAGAGUUGGCUCUAGUGAGAGGUGACAGGUGACACAGAGAGACCAAAAAGAAGAAAAACAACAACAAAGGCCUUUGGGGGAACCUGAAGGAAUUGGAGGCACAGUGACAAAAUCAGGGGCGAGGGAGAAGCCAGAAGCAAAGAUGUCCGGACCCUCCCCUCCCCACUGCACUCAAACUGCGCUCAGGACAUUAGGGGAAGGUCCUUCCAUCUGCGAUUUGAAAGAGAAGUGUAAAAAUUCAAGAAGGGGGUGUGGGGAGGAAAACUUCUUUCAGAAGGGACUUUCCCUUAGCAGUGAGGUUUCAGAUCAUGUUCUGCAACAGCCUCCUGGCUUGUGACAGCGUUUCAGGGAAAUGAGACAACUCAGAUGCAAAUCACAAAGGAAAAGAAAUUCAGCAGCGGCUUGAGAAAACGAACUGAGCCACGCUGAGUCUGACAAGGCAGAGCUUUAAGACAGGGUGAACUCUAUAGCAAGUGCCGCCCGGAAAGGGAACAGCAGAGGGGAAGGGCAAACACAGCUCAGGCUUAAAUAAUUACCAGAGCUUCCAUUUAUGGACAGCCUACUACGCUCCUCGAGCUCUGCAUGCAUUCUCUCUUGUCCAUAGAGUAGAUAUCGGGAAACCGACAUGAUUAUCUAUCUCCAUUCUCAUCUAUAAAGAUGAGAAUACACACUCGGAGAAAGUAAGUAGGAAAUUAGCCAACAUCACCCAUUUCCAGGGCCAGGAUUCAAACGGAGGCUCAUCUGAUACCAGAGAUCAUGCUUUUCCCCUGGACCCUUCUGCCACUAAUUCAGGUGACUCACUGUAUAAAUCACAAUCUUCUUUCUACCUACAUUUUCCCUUAUGACAUGGUACAAGUAAGCUUAAUGUUAGGUAAGAUAGUAGCUUAAAAUCCGUUCAUUGGUGUGUCUGUCACUGACCAGCUUUUUUUGUGGAAAUGGACAACUCAUUUAACUUCUCUGAGUCUCUCAGUGUUGUCAUCUAUGAAAUGGGGCCCUGUGGGGGGACUCUCCAGUUCUCAACUGCUGUGGGGCGUUCCUCGUCCUCAUAUGCCAAAAGAAGGAAAUUUCAAAGUUGUGUUUCUUUUUUAACAGAGUAUGUGAUGGGAUUAUCAUAUUCCAGUUCUCUGUGGAUAACAUACAUGUGGGGAGCCCAUGCUUAAAAAGCAAAAACGCUUUUAAACGUGUUUUAGAUGGCCUUGCAAAUGGAGCCAGAACAUUCCUAGCCAACCCUCUGUUAGCAGAAGGGCUGGAUGGGAAAAAACAAAAAAACAAAAAAACAAAACACUCAACAUUUUUUGCCCCUUCCCAGCAUAAAUCAUCACUUACUGUGGGAAAAUGAUUAUUUGUCAGGAUGUAGGGCCUAUGACUCAUUAUGGAGUUGUCCUCGGCCCCUGAUCAAGCAAGAGAACUAAAGGUAGAAAGACUGAGAAGCUGGGGUGAGGACUCUGAAUUGCCAACAGUUUCACCUAUGACACCGUAAGAGAGGAAAACUGAAAGCUAGGUGAGUUUCAGGACAAAGUGGGUCGGCUGUGUGGCCAAGACCAGACUAACAAGACAUGGGCCCUUGGCUUUCUGAGUCAUUCCUUGGGUCUGAAUCUUUACAGCCCCAAAGAGGCAUUGAUCAGCAAAAUGCAAAUAAUACCACCCUUGGGCUUGUCCUGACAGGCAACCAGCUUGCUAAUUAAUGCUUGAGUAACAGACAUCCUUCUCAUCCGGAAACACCAGCAAACUUUACAAAGAAGGGGUUAAAUUGUUCAACAUCAGCAUUCGUAUUCUAGAAGUACGUGAGAGACAGACACCACAAACACACUCCCUGUGGUUUCAGCAAAUAUUGUGCUAUACUUUCUCCUUUGUUGCUAUAAGCUAUGGCGUAUCUACUGUAAAUACACUUACUGUUAUAUUUUUCUGCACGGUCUUUGAUGUUUUUAAAAAUGUUUGGCUUGAACAAAGAGCUAUUUUGUGAUCAAAAGCAUAGAAAGUUAAAAUUACCUACUGCAGAUAUAAAAUCCUAGGAACUUAAUGAAAGGCGAUAGGAAAAUUGAUCUCUUAUCUACCCUGAGUAUUGUUCUCUACUUUCGUUAAUAUCUUAAAGGUAGCAAAAGUAGAAGCAUGAUGCAGGGAUGACGCAGAGGGGAAGAUUUGUUUCAAAUUCUCCUAGUCCGAGGAGGGGGUGUUGGAUAUGGUCUUAUGUUGGUGGUUUGUGAUUAAGGAACUUAUGUUGGAAUAAUGAAAUGAAACUAGAGUUAACUAGUCUUCAACUGAUGUCAGGAAACAGUAGGUCUUUGGGUGGGAAAAACUGAGAGAAUGGAAGCCUCUUUCUAAUGCCAGUAGGAUAAGUAUAGAAUAAUAUUUCUUCAAGUGUCCACCACAGAACUCCAGACCCAUGAGCUACCCUGGAGAGGGAAGGUUUUAUGCUCCAAAGUAAAGAGUUCGGGCAACUCUGCAGAGCGAUGUCUUCCGUACCCCACCCACCUUGUUGGAGAAACACAGCACCUUGGUCAGAUCUAACAUAUCCCAAAGUUCCUGAAGGCCUCAGAGCCAUGCCCCCUUCCCUUUUUAUUUUUCAUGUGACGCCUGUUAAUCCUGUACAACUAGUGCUUCAUGAGCAAUUCUUGGUAAAACACUGGUGAGGAAAAAAGAAAUCUAAGGGCGGGGGGCGGGGAGUGGGGGGGAUUUACAUGGAAAGAGACGCACAGAAAGUGUCCGGAUCAGUGAUGCCCAAAAUGGUAAGAUCCUAAUGGGAAGAGAGGUAGUCAAGGGACACUGUGCAGGUGGUAGGUUAAAGUGACCAGGAGAGGGGAUAAAAAUUAGGAAAGAGAAUUAGCACCUAUAAUGCUUAAAUUAUAUGGCACACAAAAUACCCAACACUGUGGGGAGGUAUCAUUGCCCCACUUACCGUUAGGAAGAAUGAGCAACUCAUCCAAGACUGUGUACCACGUGAUUUAAAGCACUGAGGCUCAGGCAGGCACUUAGCAUCAGGCAGUCACGGGGAGCACGUCUGCAGGGGCUGCCCAGGGCCACCUAGGCCUGGGUGAGAAUGCUGCGUGUGGAGCUGUGACAGAGCAGUGACACAGCCCUCCUUGCAUUUGAAAACAGACACGCAGGUUUUCAAAGCUGGGGUGUGCUUUCCUCUGCAGGCUGAAGCAGGCUGAUGCAGCAGGAGGGGGAAAAACACAACUUCUAUUUCUUUCCUUCCCUCCACCUGGAGUCCCUUAGUUACCAAACUUCUGGAGAAACAGACAAGCAGGAAUUGUGCCUUUAACACCCUCUCUGGCCAAUUCAAAGCAGGCAACCUUCUGCGUCACAGGGGUCCUCUCUCUUCUGAUGUCCAGAGGAAAACAGGCUCCAAUUUUUCUCUCCCAGAGAGGUUGGACCACAGGUAAUCCAAACAAGCUCCUGUCCCUGACUUCCCUUUUUCUGGCUUUCUCUAACCCCUACUUGUGAGCACUUGCAUCUGUAUGCAGGAGGGAUGUCUGACUGCUACGAUGCUGAAGGAUUAUGCAAAAAGGCAAGUGCUCUGGCCUAAAAAUAAAUGUGUUGUUUGUUUCUUUUUUUUCAAGAGCUGCCAUUAACUUUAUCUAAACUAAACUAGACUUUCCAGGUGGUUGGAAUUCAGAGGAAAACUUCAGAUUUUCUGUGGUAUGUUGCUUACAUGAGAGAUAGUGUCUUACAGAACCCAUCAUUGUACAAGGCGGGCAUUGGAGGGGCUGGGUAUUAUAGGCAAGAUGCUCCCGAAUCAAUAGGCUUUCACCUUAUUUGAUCUCCCCUCCUUAUCAGUUAAAAUAAAUUAAGCAUGUACCCCAACAUAUGUUUUACCUAUGAAUUACAAAACUGUGUUGCCAACUGAUAUAUUAUGAAUAAUUAAAGCAUUCACAAAAAAGAAUAUUUACAAAUGAUAUUUAAGAUGAUAUUUGAAGACACGUUUAUUUAUUUUAAUUAUCCCCCCCCCCAUACCUCAAUAAAUCAAGGGAUAUGUGCACCUUACUUUGGGAUCACUGACCUUACAGUUUGCCCAUCACGAUAGAACUCAUCUAGUAAAUGAGCUCAGAAAGGUUUUGAGUCUCUAAAUAAUCUUGUUAAAGUCCUAAACAGCCCAUUAAUAACAUGAUUGGUCUCAAGGCAAUUGAACUAAGUACUCAUAACCAAAUCAUCAAGUGAAAGAAUUUAGACCACUGGUUGGCUGGCUUGUAACAAGUUACUUCUAUUUCCCCAAAUGUGUUUGGAUCACUGCCCAUUGGAUUUUGAGGGAACAACUAAAUAUUGUCUCCUCAGUAAUGUUGUUCUCCCUCAAGUGUGUGUAAUCUCACAAAGCUGUUUCACUAGAAGAGAACAAGGUUAUGUGAAGGGGAGAGAACAUCUCUCCCUCCAGGCCAAUUAUGCAAUGCAGGGUCAAGGGCUCUGUCUACAAAACCCAAAAACAGAUCUUUAGGGAGUGCUAGGAGGAGAGAUAGGGCUGAACAGAGACGAUGAUUCCCCCUGCUUGGGGCAUGGUGAUUACUUGAGUUUUCAGAUGAAGAGUGCUGUCAGAAGCACAGAGGAAAUACCUGGCCCAACCAAUAAAAACAAUAUGGCACUGGGUGCAGGAGAUUGGAUGCAUAUAGGAAAACACUAAUACCCUUACACGCAUUCCCCGUCUAGAUGCCUCCAUGCACAAAAUUCUCCUACUUAAAAGGAGAGCAUUGGGGAACCUGGGUGGCUCAGUCAGUCAAGUGUCAGACUUCAGCUCAGGACAUGAUCUCGCCGUUGUGGAGUUCGAGCCCCGCGUCGGGUUCUGUGCUGACAGCUCAGAGACUGGAGCCUGUUUCUGAUUCUGUGUCUCCCUCUCUCUCUCUGUACCUCCCCCACUCGUGCUCUCUCUCUCUCUCUCUCUCUCUCAAAAAAAUAAAUAAAUAAACAUUUUUAAAAAACACUCAAAAAAAGAAAAAAAAGGAGAGUAUUGGUCAUUCACUUCAGUUCUCAUUUAAAGGUCUUUACUUCUCUGGAGGAGCCUGGAUGGCUCAGUCAGUUAAGCGUCCAACUUCAGUUCAGGUCAUGAUCUCACAGUUUGUGGGUUCGAGCCUCACAUUAGGCUCUGUGCUGACAGCUCGGAGCCUGGAACCUGCUUCGGAUUCUGUGUCUCCCUCUCUCUUUGCCCCUCUCGCACUCUCUCUCUCUCUGUCUCUGUCUCUCUCAAAAAUGAAUAAACAUUUUAAAAAAUUUUUAAAGAAAGGUCUUCACUUCUCCUCCCAUUUAAAAAAGUGUACAAUUUUUUUUUUUUAAAGACUCUUUGGCAGAGAAACCCACCGAAACACUAUUAACCUCUUAGUGUGACCUUCGGGAAGGGUCCCAUGACUAAGGAAAGUGCUAAGAGGAUAGAAAAUUUGGUGGUGGGGAUGUAGCAGAGGAGGAAGAUGAAAAGAGGAAACUGUUUGGAGGGCUACACUGGGGGAAACUGGUGAAUAAGUUCUCUGAAGGGCAAAUAGCAUCAUUCAUACUUUGGUUUAGAAACCAUUCAUUCAAAAUUUGAGUUCUUUGUUGGGUUAGUUCAGUGAUCACUGAAGUGAGGAAGUAAAGCCUAACACUUUUUGUAAACCUCGGAGUCCACAAGAAGUUAUGAAAAUUCCUGGUGGGCUUACACUAGGGCUAACACUGAGGCAAGGAAAGACAGGGAGAUUCCACUGAUGAGUCAGACCAAAGGGACAAAGAAGACUGCAAAUGCUUUUUCUCAGACGAAAUGAAUUGUUAAGAAAUUGGGGAGAAUGAAAUCAAGUUAACAAAUUUGGGAGAUAAUGGAUGUAUUUCCUACAGAACCUGAGAAACAACACUAAAUGAUAAACUCUUGGAAAUAAAGACUGAUCUGAGGACGCUCAGAUAGAAAAGUAGAAAGCAAAAAUGUUGGCCCUCACUGGGGCUUGUGAGAGUGUGGGGGAGGCCCUUUAGAUGGGGUCAGUUGGCACCAGGAAAGACCCAACCAUAACUGGAGGUACUUGGGGGAGGCAAAGGCAUGUCCAUGAGCUGUGACAGGAGGCGAUGAGUGACGCUGAGUACAGGGCCAGACUCCAUAAUGCCUAAUUCUUAAUGAAAUCAGCAUGGCAAUGACCUUGCCAAAGGCGUUUUAACUGUACAGCCUGAAGGAGACAGAGAUGAACUGUAUCAGGAAGAAGCGCAUUGAUGGGACAUGACUAAUAAUAUGGAUGAGAAUUUCUCGUAAGCUUUUUCUUAUUGAACACAUCUGUGAUAAAGGCUCCAGCAUCACAUUUUAUACAAUACAAAAAUUGUAAACACUAUGAAGUGGCCAUUAAAUGUGUGAUGUCAGAUCUAAUGUGGGCAUAAAUAACACUGAGCACCACAGACGGUAAUUUAGAAGGUUCUAAUCACAUCUUGACAACAAAAACACUCGAGUCCAUAUAAUGUCAAAGCAUCUGAAUGAAAAGAGAAAAACACAAGCAAUAAUCUUUCCUGCAAAAGCCAAACAUCUGGAUAUUUUGGAAGACUAAGCAUCCAUUUCGUAAAACCACAGUAUUUAAAGUUAAAGCAUUCUACGAUCUCCUUGGAUCUAAUUAUUUUCUAUGGUUUUGUGUAAAUAUGGCAAAAUAGUAUUCGUUCAGUAACUAAUAACUGAAUAUAGUAAUGGUAAUUAAUAUGUAGCAGUGGUUGAGCUUCAAAAUUACUAUAUGAUGCAUGUGUUUUUAGUGCCCGUAUUUUAUACAUAAUGAGUCUUUUCCAAAUAAUUUGCUUGGUUGCCAAGGGUAGAGUCCCUCAAGACUCACAACUAUCUUUAGCUGUUUCCAGAAUCCGCAUUCAUCCUAUAUGUGGUCAUUUACGUCUCUUAAAUUGGAUUUAAACAAGAGUUUUUUAUUCUAAUUAGCAAUUAUUGGGUUCUGUGUUUUUAUCUUACAGAAUCCUAUUUUACUGUAGCCAGAGUGUCUGGUUCCUUGUCAUCUUCCCACCCACACUGUAAUUCUUCCGUUGCUUACAUGAGGGCAGUUUGGGGCUACGCCGGGGACCCAGCAGGUGUUCAGUUAAUAUUUAUUAAACUAAAGAAGAGCCAGAAGUGAAAUAAAAUUAAGGAUUCAGCUAGAGUUCAGAGAGCUUGUCAACUCAUUUGCACCUUAACUAAUGUCCAUGCUUAAGCAAACAAGUUAAGCCCACAACUUUGAUUUCAUCGGUAUUUCAAUACUCACAGCAACGUGGAUGCACUUUUAUUACUUUAAAUGUGUGUGGUUCAGGUUGUUCAUCACGACUUUCCUCUUUGUUUUCCCUUUUGCUGAUUCUUUGCCAGCUUUCCUACACUUCCUUCUCACUCCCCACUUUGUCAUUGCCUCUGGACAAACCCAUUUAGUCACUUGUUAGAUUUAAGAUAAAAGUUAGAGACACAGGAAGAAAAAACAAACGUAAACCAUGGGCAUCGACUUUUUACUUUAAUUUUAUUUCCCAAAUUACUGUGAAAACAACUGAGAGCUAUUUUUUUUUCUUUUUCUUGUUAGCACGUUGUACACCCUGGACAGGCAGCUAUGGUUUCUUAAUGAUUCUACACGAUUUUUAAUGCCUGGCCUUUAAAUAUUCAAAACAGUUUGUUAAGUCCAUAAUUAAAUUUUCACUUGUUGGUUGGAGUCUGUGCCUAUGGUAGUCAUUUUCAUAACACAAUCAGAAUCCACUUUCUAGGCAGGAAAAAUGUUUUUCUGGUUUGACACUUCUAUGCACAGCAACUCACCUCCCUGCAGAAUCAGGCUGGGGUGCAUUUCAGGCCAAUCCAGGUAUAAGUGCUAUCUUUAAAUGCUCCCAAUUCCCGAAUAUCGAGCAAGCCCAGGAAUGAAGCCCAUGCCUAUCCUUCAAUGUGGAUCUCUAAGUCUACCUUUUCUGCUUGCCUUUUUGCACUUUAUUAUUUUUUUAACGUUUAUUUGUUUUUUAGAGAGAGAGAGAGAGAGAGAGAAAGUGGGUGAGGGGCAGAGAGAGAGGGAGGCGGGAUCUGAAGCAGGCUCUGUGUUAAUAGCAGAGAGCCCAAUGUGGGGCUCGAACUCACAAAACAUGACAUCGUGACCUGAGCUGAAGUCAGAUGGUUAACCGACUGAGCCACCCAGGCGCCCCACCCUUCCCACACUUUGAAUAACUUUUUUGAACUUGGAAACUUGAAUAGGUUUUUUAAGUCAAUUUCAGGUGUACAGGAAUAGAGAUGGGAGUAUAAUGAAACUUACACCUCCCCAAACCAUUAAUCAAAUAUUACUUCUGAUAUAUUCUCUUCUAAGGGGCACAGCUCAGUCCAUGAUUUCCAGAACACAUCAGGUCCUAAUGUUACACACACCGAAUCCAAAUGAUACACAAAAUCCUUGCCCGUUUUUUUUUUCCUACCUUAUAGUCUAGGCAAGCUCCCAAGUAGCCUGCAGAAUUGAUGAAUUUCUAGUAAACUUUCUAUUCUAUCUGCCAGCUCUCUAACUCCCUGGGGAAUCUACACUUGCAGAUAAUUCUUCAGCACCUCGGUAUACACUAGACUUGAUCGUGUCCACACAAGUCUUCCACCUCGCUGCUUCUGUGCUACAAGAAUCGCACUGCUUCAUUCGAAUUUUGUGGUUUCAAAGGUUUUUAAUUCUGUGUUUGUUUUAUUUUGUUUACAUGUUUGUUUUGGGGCUUUUCUCUCUAUUUUCCCUCAUAUGGAGGUUUUGUUAGAUUUUCCCUACUUUAUCUUCUUUCUCCACUGCCCACCUUGCCACUGCGUCACAACAAACCUAUUUCCAGAUUUAUUUUUAAUUUUUUCUACAUUGAUUUAUUUUUGAGAGAGGGUGAGACAAAGUGAGAGUGGGGGAGGGGCAGAGAGAGGGAGACACAGGAUCGGAAGCAGGCUCCAGGCUCCCAGCUGUCGGCGCAGAGCCUGACGCGGGGCUCGAACCCACAGACCGCGAGAUCGUGACCUGAGCCGAAGUGGGAUGCUCAACCGACUGAGCCACCCAGGCGUCCCCACAUGGAUAUGUUUAAAUCUAGAACUAGGUUUGGGGUGCCUGGGUGGCUGAGCCGGUUGGAUGUCCAGCUUCGGCUCAGGUCAUGAUCUCAAGGUUUGUGAGUUUGAGCCCCGCGUCAAGCUCUGUGCUGACAGCUCAGAGCCCGGAGCCUGCUUCGGAUUCUGUGUCUCCCUCUCUCUCUGACCCUCCCCUGCUCAUGCUUUGUCUCUCUGUGCCUCAAAAAUAAAUCAACAUUAAAAAAAUUUUUUUAAAUAUACUCAUGUGGCUAGAACCUUAAGGUGUGUCUGCAUAGGCAAAGCGGGGAGCUAAGGGAACUCUCUGGAAGAGCGUUCAGCACAAAAUAGCAACUUCCUGAUCCAGGGGAAGGCAGGCGGGCUCUGUAAGGACUGAGUCUCUCCCAACUGAUACCAGAUAAUUCCUAUUUCUUGCAAUCCACUCUCAAAAAGCAUACGUGUUUUUACUAUAUUUAACUAAUGUGCCUCAAAUCUAUUAUGAACUCAGUACAAGCAGAGAGUUCGAAAGGGAGGGGACAUCAAAGAAAUGUGAGAGAAGGAAAGAGUAUCUUAAGGAACUAGGUGUGGGCUGUGGCCUUUAUAUUCGCUAUCUUAUUUAAUACUUAAAGCAAGAGAUACUAUGUCUGACAGAAGGAGAAACAGAGACUCAGAGAGGUUAAUUAACUUGCCCGUAUCUUCACUGGUAGUAAGUGAAAGAACCAGCAUCUGGAAACAGCUGGCCUGGUCCCACACUCUUUCUGCUUUUUCCCACACAUCUUUCUGCUUGCUGCCCUGUGCCAUCACACGAAGCGUGCCUACCUUGAUGAUGUUUCACAUCCAUAGGGAGAGGCAAGAUCUCCACAGACGGGGGGAAAAAUGUUCUGGCUUUUUAAAAAGAGCUAAUAUAAGACAGGAUUCAUUAAAAUUCAACAAGGAAGGGUGUCAAAAGCCAUGACAUAUGUGCAUGGACAAAAAUUAAAGGAGAGGAACAAUUUGCGUGGCAUGGAGGUUAGCUUUAAUGUUCAUCCGAUUAGGUUGAUUAUUUAUCGCCUUUCCUGUGCUGAUAUGAACUUUGGAUUCAUUGAGUGACUGUUCCGUGCUCUAACUUGGUGUCUGAAUUUAAUGCUGAGCCCCGGAAUCCAUUUGUACUGUUGACAUUUCUCAUUGUUUAACCCUCUACUCACCUACCUUCACCAAACCCCCUCCCCAAAAUAGCAGCGAGGCUAGUAAUCUUUCAAAAAUAACAAGAAAGUAGAAUUUACAAUUAUUUUGGUAGUGUCUGUGCAAACAGCCAUAAAUUCUACACUUUACAUCAUGCUAAGGGCCGCAGUGUUGACAGUAAGAAAGGGUCAAACCAAAUAUUUGCAUCUGGGGCCUCACCUGUUAGACCGGCAGUGAAGAGUCCAAAGUACAGGCCCAAGGCACCGACUGGCAGUUAUCAGCACACUUUAUGAGUAUUUCCCUGAAAGUUCCUCCUAACCAGCUCUCUCCAGCCCACUGCCAGCUCCUCUGAAAUGGGGAUAUCAGCUCUCCCCAUUCGCUUAUCAAAAAUAUGUCCAUUACUAGAUCACAUAAAAUUGUUUGUACACUCACUUGAAAUGCUUAGCAGUCAUCCCUGCUUUGGACCAGGAGGUGGUCCUUUAAAGUUACAGCCUGAUCAAAGAAGAAAAUUAAUUGGGGAAAUUUCUCCAUACUCUCAACACCUCUUGUCUCUUUCCUGGAGUUUGAACUGAAAUCCCUGAUGUGCAGCAGUGAUGGGGAAAACACCUAUUCACUCCACUGGGAACCCCCAACCAAUCUUCCUUUGGUUCCUCAGAUCAAGAGAAAUCGAGAAUUGCAAAGGAGGCAAUUUUAUUUUGGUUUUGGUAGAUUGAAACAAACUCAGGCCAUUAGAUCAGAGAAAGAGGAGGAAUGGAAAUAUCCUGCACUACCUCAAGCCUGGAAACCUUACUGUCUCAAAGCAGAGUUUUGAAACAUAAAUUUAAUGGGGCACCUGGGUGGUUCAGUCAGGUAAGCGUCUGAUUUCGGCUCAGGUCAUGAUCUCACAGUUGGUGAGUUCGAGCCCCACCUAGGGCUCUGUGCUGACAGGUCAGAGCCUGGAGCCUGCUUCAGUUUCUGUGUCUCCCUCUCUCUCUGCCCCUCCCCUGCUCACUCUCUCUCUCUCUCUCUCUCAAAAAUAAAUAAAGAGUUAAAAAAUAAUAAAAUAAAAUAUAACUUCAGCAUCAAUAAUUCCCAGGAAGAUGUGAAGCCAUUUUUCUUACAAUAAAGAUCAUUCUAGCUAAUGAGCUUCAAAUACGGUGAAGCCUCACAUCAUACUAACAUGGGAAGCAGGUAUCGUAUCAGACACUUACUGGAGACAUUUUGUGCAAUACUGAUAGACAGAAGCAUUAUACAGACAACAACCAACUUGUACAGCCAGAAUUUUCUGGACAUUCUUGAUGUAAAUAUUUUAUCCCAUUGCUAAAUUAGAAAAACGUGUGUCUGUGCACCCAACCACACCUAGUGUGUGUGUUCUCUGUUACAGGACAACUCUGUCCUCAUUGUAUAUGAUCUAACAAAGCAUGGAGAGUGAUCAUAUUUUAAAUAUUUCUGCUUAAAAUAUCCAUAGCAUCUUAUUAAUUAUAGACUAAAUAUAGUCUGAGGGCGAAUGACAGAGGAACCUAUUAUUUACAACCUGAUUUUACUUCUCGAUUAACAGACAUACCAACAUUUGGGGCUUGAAAGUAGUUUUUGCCAAGUGUUUUGCCCUUCCAUAAGCACAUCCCGGAAAUAUAGUUAGAAGCUGAAAUGCAUCCCAUGCCCUAGAUGCAUGCGUUGCAAGGUUUUUAAAAGCAACAAACCUCCUGUAGACCUCAAAGGCACCCACACAGCCAAUUUCCAUUGGAACUGUUAGAGUUUUGGUUUGUAAGCAUCUGGGUAGGGGCUCACCUGUGGAACCAAGUAGAUCAAAGGAUGUCAAUUGAACACCAGGCAUGUAAGAAUGAAUGAAACUGCUUUAGACCAUUAAAAAAAGAAUCCUGAGUUACCUUUUCCUCAUGCCUCCAGCACCAUAAAUGCAAGCCCACAAAGCCCAGAGCCUUUCACUAGGUGCUGCCCCAGUCAUGCUUUAGUUGGAGCUCCGGGAGAGCCCACAACCCCCAGAAAAUAUGCACAGAUGUGGCAAUUUUCCCAUAGUAUUGUGGUGGGUAUAUGCUGUGGUUUGAGUCCCUUUAUGACCAAAUGGUUUCUUCUUUCUUUCUUCCUUUCUUCCUUUCUUUCUUUCUUUCUCUCUUUCUUUCUCUCUUUCUCUCUUUCCCUUUCUUUCUUUCUUUCUUUCCUUCUUUUCUUUCUUUCUUUCUUUCUUUCUUUCUUUCUUUCUUUCCUCUUUCUCUCGUUUUUAAGGGUCUGAGUGGCUAUGAAGCAGUGCUGUGAGGAUAGCUUGCUGGGCUUGGGUUUGUGCUUUUCACCAGGACACCAGUCCUUUCUGGAAGGCAGCUGCCACAAAAAGGAGGAACAGCUUAUGAGGUGAGGUUGGGGAGGUCGGGGGGAAGCACCCAGGAGAGAAUGCACAGAGAUCUAACAACUUGCGAUUCCACCCCUCUGCCCUGUGGGGCAAAUCAUUUCCCAAUGAGAAAAGUGCAGCGAAGACAAGAUUCUUUAUUUCAUCUUAGUUCCUUCUAAGAACAGCGAAAUGGGGAUUCAGCGUCUGAAGCUGCUUCAGCAAUUCCACAUCUACCUCUGGCCUCUGCAAGGCGUAAUUGUGUGGCCUUGGGGAACAAUAAAUGCCAAGGUGCGUCAGGCCAGCAGGCGGACCAUACACUGUGCUUGUAACACUAAUGGCUCCUUGUUUUCAUGCUGAAAAUAUGCACCUCUUGGAACCUCUUCUCUCUUGGUCAGAUGUGCGUGAUGUGAUUUACAUUAUGGAAUGCAGGAGAGGCAUGUGUUUGCAAGUGCUCUGAUCCAAGAAUCCGGUUUCUAUUGUAUACACAAUCUGUAUUGCCUUGUAUAAUGACCUUAAUACUUUUUUUUUUUUUUUGCAUUUUAAUUUUGGACUUAUUUUUAAAUGAUUCAUUUUCUAUUCAGCCCUAAGCCCAAAAUGUCUGCAUGCACGAUAACUAUGCUACAGUGAUCAAAAUGUCCUGGAGACUUAAUUUCACAAGCUCCUUUUUCCUGAGUUCUAAGAGCCUUUGGCCUUACCCCCCAGGAAAUGCUAUGGUGUGGAUAAGAGGGAAACAUCCUCCUUGGGUCCACUCUCUGGGCAGUCAGCUGUGCUGAGUGGUGUAUGAGUAGACAUGAAGGGGAUUCUAGGCUUCUCAGAGAGGCACUACAGGUCCCAAGGAGACAUCAUUAACAUGUCUGUUGGAACUAUUUACAUAUAUAUAUAUUUUUUAACUUUCUCAUGUGGCUGUUUGUAUUCAUUGAAGCUUACCUCUCAGGGAUGUAGGGAGUAAGGAAUAAGCUUAAAUUUCUGAAAGUUAGAAAGCCUAGAUAACUUAGUUUUAAGCCUCACUCUACUACUAACCCACUAGUAAACUUUGGUAAUUUAGGUUUUCUGAGCCUUGGUUUGGGAAAUCCUUGUUUGGAUUCAGAAAAGUUUCAGGGUUUGGGUUUGUUUUUGUAAUUGUUGUUUUGUUUGUUUGUUUUUUCUGUAGGAUCUCUCUGAGUCUUUGAUAUGCUAAUGAGUAUUCUGAGCUCUAAGAAUGUGCAGCGAAUCCCAAGCUGGCAGAACUAUUGAACAAUUUCUUCCCCCCAAAAAGUGUUCAUAACCUGGAUUCUAUUGCAAGUGUUCUAUAGGAUAUAGUUUGAACGAGUUAUAGAAGUAGAAAUGUUCUUCCCGCAGUGCAGAAUUAUACACAUUUCAUAGAGAUAUGAAGAGGUCCUUUAUGAUCCUAUUGUAUUAAUUAAGGCUUUAUGCUGCAGGUAAAAGUACUCACUAUAGCCAGUUCCAGCAGAAAAGGACUUAUUAUAAUGAUUAGCUGAAGCCUUGUAUAGGAGUACCAAAGAACCAGUCUUGAAUACUACCAAGGAAAAUUCAGGAAAAAGUUGGCCAGAAAAAUAUGCUCAACCACAUUGGUUUUUCGAGCAAAAACACCUGAGCAAAAUCCUCAAGGUUGCUGCUCCCUGAUCUGCCUUUCCUUGAUUGUGACAAUACCCUUUCCUUGAGUGUGAGAAGAACUUGUGAAGAUAAUGGGAUAUCACUUGCGUGAUUACGUUCUGUUCUGUGACAAAAAAGGAUCUUGCAAACAUGAUGAAAGUCUGGUCAACUGACUGUGAAUUAGUCAAAGGGGAGUUAUCCUGAGUGGUUCUGACCUAAUUAAAUGAGCCCUUAAAAGAAGUCAAGAAUUUGAAGCCAGAGACGCUAUCCUGUUGGUGUUGACGGACCAAACCACCAUGUUGUAGACAAUGCCACUGGGCAGAGGAGGACACGAAGCCUCUUUGGGCAGUGAAUGACCCCAGCAGGAGAGCAAGGAUCUCACUCCUAAGACUGCAGGCAACUAGAAUGCUGCCAACGGCCAGGGCAUGGGCUUGGAAGAGAACCGUGAUGAAAGUCUAGCCCUGGCCAACAUCUUGAUUUCAGCCUUGUGAAGCCCUGAGCUGAGGAUCCGACUACCCCGUGCCCACACUUCUUAUCUCCAAAAACUAAGAGAAGUGAUAGGGCAAAUCUGAUUUAUCUGAUAAUAUACACUAUUUGUCCCUGGGAAUAUGAGAAGACAUGGAUCUCAUCGUACCCCUGGAACGUUGGAAAGUUUUCUGGUAAAGCUGAACUUGUUUUUCAUCCUUAUAAGAAUGUCCAUUCACAUACUCAAUGUCUAGCCUACUACCUUCUCCACGUUAAAGUAGUUCAGUUUCAAUUUAUUACAAGUGAGUUUGAACCACCUCCUCUGCCUCAUUAGUAGUCCCUGACCAAACUUCAUCUCAUUUCGGAACCACCCGUGAUGAGGAACGGUAAACAAUGAGAAAUGACAAUUAAGAAACCUUGAUCUACAGAAACAAAACAGAAACCCCGUUUGCUUUACCUCGUGUCGUAAUUUCCCAGAUCUGUUCCUCUUGGCCAAUGUUGAGCCUGGCAUUUCUCCCUUGAGGGCUGAGCAACUUCUUACAAAACCACGCUCUGUGGGUUUUCCCAGGUGCUGUUAUUUCCUGAGCAGUACGUGAUAACAGUCCCUUAAUAUUUACGGGCUGAAAGUUUGCACAGUACUUUCAGAAAAUCUUGUCUCAACUUGUUUGAUCCUCACCAUAGCUCCAUAGGGGUCAGGCCAAGUGUCAUUAUUUCUAGUUUAUAAAUAACAGAACCUUCUGUUUCUGGAGUCACGUGACUGGCCUACACUGUGGCGAGCUGUGAUGCUGAGAUUAGAACUCAAGUCUUCUGAAUGUAAGUGAAUCUUUCCCCAGGACUCCUAUCCUCUUAUCUGCCACACUUGUAAAAUGCACCUAUGACCAUGGCUAACACCAUCAAGUACAAGUUCUCUAACAUAAAUUUGGACCCUGCUUAUAUCUAAGUCUUUCCCUUUAUCUUCCAGGAAUAAUCCGUUUCUUAUAGUCCAUUCCUCAUACUUUCUGGCUUCUGCCUAGACAUGCCUCCGACUGCAUUUUUUCUGUCUGAGUGAGUUGUAUAUGUCCUUGAAGACUCUGCUCAGACUUUGCCCAGGCUGGUCAAGACAGUCCCCUUCAGUGUCCAGUCUGUUCUUCUAUUUCUAUCACAUUAUUACCGUUUCUGCUGAUAUGUACAUACCUUUCUAAGGUAUGGGCCCAUUGAUGUGUCUAAGGUAUCUUGUGUCCUCUGUAUUUAACACAGUGCUGGGAAUUUCAUUCCUGAAAUGCUUGUGGAAUUGGGAUUUUUUUUUUUUUUAAGGAGUGGUUUUAUUUGCUAGGAAAUAAAAACAAACAAUGAAAAAAAAAAAAAAAGUGAGCCUCCAGAAGUGUAGCUUCUCUACCUAAACUUGUUCUGAGGGGACUGAGAGUCUAGGAAUAGAAUGAAUCGACAUGAGUUGGGCUGGGGGUGGGAGUGGAGAAAAGAGGGAAUAAUGCCCAUAACUUUUGGAAAGUCCUGCUGAGGAUCCUGAGGAUUUAAGGUCACAUGCUCGGGCACUUCAGUGGCCAUUGUAUCUACCCUUUUCAACUCUGUCUUCCAGAAUAACUGCUGCAGGGAACCUAGCCUCCAACUGCCAUAACUUUGGAUCCACUGCAGCAUUCAGAUUAGGUUUCCUUCCCACUGGCUGUUCCCAGACAAUGAGAAUGCAGUGGGGGUAGUAAGCCCGGGCCACUUCUGCCUGACACGGGACUCCUCUGAUAGGAAAUGAACUCAGGGAUCCCCACUGGCCUAGCUAAGACUUUCUCAGAACUGUACUAUGGUCUGAGGCUACCUCCAACCCAAUCCUCUCUUCUCUGCUGCGGCUUCUUCUUGUCUACUCAUGCCCCCCACUCCUUUUUCCCUUCACUAAUGUUUCCCCCAAUUCAUCUCUCACCCAUCUAAUCCCACAGCUUCUUUUCAGCUUCUUUUCAGAAGACCUGAACUAACAGAGUUAGUACCCAAAGUACUCAAGAUUUAGGUCUAAAAAUCAAAUUUUAGAAAUGCUACGGUAAAUCUGUAAACUACGCUUAAAAUUUAAUAAUGCCCUAACUUAGUCUAAAGCUAUGUAGUAGUUUAGAAUCAGUGCUAAAAAGAACGCAAAACAGACAAAUGGGUUCUGCUUCUGUAUACCUGGUAUAUACACAGGCAAGAUAGAAGGUAAAAGUAGCUCAGGUUGGCCUAUAACUGGUGUGAAAAAUGUCAGGCUACAGUUGACUCAUGGAACAACGGGAGUGUGGCCAAGCCAUCGAGGCACCGGAGGGUUGAAGAGCAUGGACCAGGUGUCCAACAGUUAUAGAGUAUAAAUAGCACAGCUGUCUCUAACACAAGCCAGCUGAGAGCCACAGAGGAGAUUACAAGAAGUGAAUUGUGGAUCAACUCUUCUAAUGGGGUGACAUUGCAGUCUCUAUUUUUUUUUAAGGCAUUUCAAAUCAUCGUAUACUUUUGUUGUGGUUACGGACACUCAUGACGGGAAUGGUAUGUGAAAGCCACGCAGGUUGUGACCCGGAAACAUUUUAUUGUAUGAAAAAGCCAGUCAGACGCCAAACCGUAGAGUUAACCUUUAAAACACUCCUUCAAGUAGAGACCCCAAGAGCUGUGAGAACACAGCCUCCAGUCCCUCAAAAAGUCAGCAACCAAUCACCUAAACAUGCUAUGCCGUGUUUCAACUCUCUCACAGGAUCGUCCAAGCUACAAUUGAACCAAGCUAUCAGCCCAUCCCUUAAUCAUGUGGGCAAACCCAUGAAGUUAACAACAGUUCUACGCAUUGACACUUUGGUAACUCAGUCUGGCUGUUUUCCUUAUCCUCUUUAUUUUUUCUGAGUCUAGUCUUUUUUUUUUUUAAUUUUUUCUUUAACGUUUAUUUAUUUUUGAGACAGAGAGAGACAGAGCAUGAACGGGAGAGGGGCAGAGAGAGAGGGAGACACAGAAUCGGAAACAGGCUCCAGGCUCUGAGCCAUCAGCCCAGAGCCCGACGCGGGGCUCGAACUCACAGACCGUGAGAUCGUGACCUGAGCUGAAGUCGGACGCUUAACCGACUGAGCCACCCAGGCGCCCCCUGAGCCUGGUCUUAAUGUGAUCUAUAGUUUUGCCUUUUUUCAAAACAAGCUUAAAAAAAAAAAAGUGAUUGAACUUUUCAAUGAAUCCAAAGAAAAACAAGGUUUAUGUCAGCCAUGAUGAAAUUCUAGGUGACUGGAACUUCUUCAGAUGAAUGCAGUAUCUCUCACUUUUAUUGAACUCAGUGGAAAACAUAAAAUAAUGUAAAUUAUGGUCCCUCCCACACCUACCCUGGAGAUUCUUAUACAACCUCCUGAAAAGAGUUUGACCCCCAACCUCUGUGAAACUUGGCAGUCAGCAUAUUCCAGAACUUCUUUUUCUAUUGUUUAAUAUUACAGAAAUAGUACCUUUCAUUUUAUUUUCCAAAUACAAAAUUAUAUAAUGAUACUGAGUAUGUUUUUUCAAAGUACAAAGUACAAGUAUCAAAGUACAAACAUUUUCAAAGUACAAAGUACAAAUAAUGAAGAUUCUGAUGUAUUCUACCCCAUCUCUGAAUACCAGGCUAGGUCUCAGCAACAUGAGUUGAGAAUUCUAACACCCUGACUUUGCAGAGGAGAAAAAUUAAGGUCGUAAAUUAAAAAAUUUGCCCAAGUUUGCAAAAUUAGUAAAAGCUGAAAUUUGUUAUUAAUGUAAUAUAAAUGUAUUUAAUCAGUUUGACAAGUAUAGCCCAAUGUUGUUGAGAGGCAGUGAAUAUAAUAACCAAAAUAUAAUUACUACCCCAAAAUGAUAAAAUAUGAUGUUAUGUUUCCCAUGCUAUAAUUUGGUUCUGUCUGUUAGGGUCCCACGGUUUCUUUUCUACACAGUCUCUCAUGGUGAACACAGUACACAACAGAGCACAAUUCCUGCCCUCGGGGGGCUCGUUGUCCAAUGGGCACAACACGCAGGUGAAUAGACGGCUUGAAUUUAUUGUAUGGAGAGUAAAGCAAGGCUGAAGUGCAGAAGAGAGCAACUCCUGGCUUGCACCAAGCCAAGACUCGUGGUCAAGAAAGCUUUCUGGAGCGGUCUUCUUGCACCUAUGUGAUGAGACACUCUUGAUGACAGACCUGUAACUGAUCAUCUUACUAACACCAGAAUGCCUUAGAAGGCCGAUUACUGGAGUAUUAUUAGCCCUUAACCAAUAUCACUUGCACCUUUGCAUAACAGUUUUCUACAUGAUUCUACAGCCAAAUAGUUUUUACAACUCUGCAAACACAACUUAAACCUGAGUUAAAUUUACUAAACCAUAUAAUACCAAGAAAAAAAUAAAACCCACUUUUACACCUUUCUAUCCAAAAGGGAACUCUUCCUUUACCACCUGUUCUUUUGUUUCCCUUAUAAGAACUUGGAUACUUGUAUGUUUGUAUAAAUGAAAACAAAAACAGAAUUCUAUUUGUAUGAAACUUACAAUUGAAAACUGUUAAAAAUAAACUCAUCAGUUAAAAAUCUUCAGAUCAGAUGGAUGAUCUGGAUUAUUUCAAUCGUAAUCUAGGGCAAGAACCGAAAGGCUUUAGGGACACGUUACUAUAAUCUGGUGACCCUCAGCUGCUUUUUUCCUCCUCCUUUUUCCAUUGGCUUCAGUGCUGGCUUGGGCAAGCAGUGUGACAACAUUGCCUUUUUCUCAGAACACUAGAAUUGUGCCACCCACAGUCCAGUGGCUGGGGGCCAGGGCACGGCCAGCCACACAGACAUGAGUCAAGCUGUGGCAUUCAAGAAUUCUCACUCAGGUUCUUUCCUGAUGACUUUCUUGGAAUUGCCAUCAACAGCAUGAUGGUAAGAAAUGUGUGAUAUAAAAGAAAUAUGUGGUAUGGCUAGUCAGAAAACUUGACUCCCAGUCUUGUUACUUUCUAGAUGUGUGACCAUUAGCAUUUUUUUCCUAAUCUGUUCUGCUAUCUCACAGUCAUUGUAAAAAUCCAAAUGAGACCAUGAAAAUUAAUAGCUUAAUCUCCAUUAAUGAAGAGAAAAGAGACAUUCCCAUAUUUAUUUGGUCAGUGUCUAAAUUAUAAGACCUUCUGGAGAGCAAUUUAGUAAUAAUUACAAGACUUUAAAAUGCCCACAACUUGGGCCUAGUUAUUCCUCUGGAAAUUUAGCCUUGGGAAAUAAUUAAGAAAACGCAGAAAGAUAUAUGUAAAAGGGUGUAUAACACUGCGCCGAUUGUAAUAACAAAAUUUUAGAAACACUCAAAUGUCCAGUAGUAGAAACUGGUUAAAUAAGUUAGAAUGUGCCUCCAUAAUAGUGUAUUAUACAACUGCUAAAAAUAAUGUUGUGAAAAUACAAAAUAUAGCUCUUGGUACAUAAUGGUGUAUAAAUGUAAUUAUUAGGUAUACAAUCAAGUAAAAUAAUGUGUAUAUGUGAUGUGAUAUAUAUAUGUAUAUAUAUUCAUAAGCAUAUGAAUAUAUAUAUAUUCAUAAACAUCUAUAUAAAGAAAGGGAGUGGGGGGGCACCUUGGUGUCUCAGUUGGUGGUACAACUUCAGCUCAGGUCAUGAUCUCCAAGCUCAUGAGUUCGAAACCUACAUCAGGGUCUGUGUUGACAGCUCAGAACCUGGAGCCUGUAUCUCCCUCUCUCUCUGCCUUUCCCCCUCUCAUGCUCUGUCUCUCUCUCUCUCUCUCUCUCUCUGUCUCUCUCUCUCUCUCUCUCAAAAAUAAACAUGAAAAAAAGAAAAGAAAAAUGUAAUCAUAGACUUUAAAAAAAAAGAAAAGGGAAGGGGUUGGUUAUGAGACUAUACCUACCGACGUGUCCAAAGAGUUUAACUCAGAAUAAUAUAUUUUAUUUUUCUUCUGUUUAUGUAUCUGUGUUUUCCAACGUUUCUAUAAUAUAUGUAUAUUUCUAUUAUAAUAAGUGAAAAUAGCUUUACAUUUAGAAGCUAAAUAAACCAUAUGAAAACCUAGACUCUACUGUUAUAGGAUAUCCAGUGAUCAAAAUUCCAUCUAUACAUAUGAAUUAUAAAAUGGCCUAGGCUUUAUCAUUUCAACGAUAUAUCUGUCACUGUAAAUUUAUAAUUGAAAAAGUUCUCCUUUUAGCAUGGUAAGAAAUGGCUAAGCAUUUAAAAUACUGAAAUAGUUUGUAAAUUUUCACUAAAAUCAACAUUCCUUUAGUAAACUUAAUUGAGGUUAAUGAAGAAACUGAGAAUCUCCAUGCAGAAGGCAAUGUUGUAAAAAGGUGUGAGUGGGGGGGCAGGGGAGCCCUGAUCCAAUCAUCUUGUAUAACGAGUUUGCCAGUCUUUACCCACUAAAUAUACAGCAGAGAAUGUUCUAAAAUAGUUACCUCAUUUGCAGAUAGGAAACUCCAGUUCUAUUGCUGGUUCCGGCAAAAACUUUCUGCAGAAACUCAGACAAGUAUAACUUGUCUGUGCUUGAAUUAAUUUGUUUAUGAAAUGAACAUCAUGUUGGCAAAGCCUUUAAGUGAAGUUUAGCUUUCGAGUGUAAAAAUAUUAUAAACCUCCUUAAAAUGAAGUAGGAGGAGAAUUUGGAAAAGGAAGAGAAGAAAGUUUUGAUGAUUCAUUAAAGAAAAAUUCAUAGCCAUUUCUGAACAAGAUGCUACAAAAUAUCUUUAAUGAGCCAAUUUCAGGGACUUAACUCCAAAAAAUUACUCUGCUGCUGCUAAAAUUUGAACUAUUGGCAUUCAUAUCUGACUUAUAUGUACCACUAUUUUUUACAUGGGUCAAGUCUUUUAAAUUUUUAGCUAACUUUAAAUACUAUGUUUACUAACCGAUACUAAACUUUAAAUGUAAAAAUCCAUAGUAUCAACUAAGUUUUCGUCAAAUGUAUAUUGGAUCUAGAAUGAGUGCUUAGAAUUCUUCGAGACCUCCAGUCUCCUUCUACUCUUUCCUUGCCUAACAGCCCUCUCCUAUCUUUACUUCCAUAAGUACCCUGCUUAAGUUCUGUGAUGGAACAUUCUGACUCCUUUCUCACCAAUACUCUGGAUUCCCCUGCCCCACUGUCUUUCAUAGCUUGGCAAAACCCCAACACUAGGUAAACUCAACUGUUUACUUUUUCUGUACAAUAUACCAGGUUUGGUUCAGUGUUCCGUGGUGUAGUUGAGAAGUAACAAUCGGGCAAUUUGCCUUCAUAAAUCUGUGAUCACCCCUCUCAGCUGGGCUCUCCAACCUGGCUGUCUAGGAGCUGACCAAAAUUCCUUAGCCAUGCUUCCAUUUUUCACACUGCUUCAAGCUCUUUUCCACCCACCCCCCACCUCGAAUCUCUGACAGCUAUACUCUACCUUGCAUUUCCAUCUGAUAAACUUUCCUCCUACUCCACUGAGAAAAUAGAAGUCAUCAUAAGAGAAUUUCUUCUUACUAUCAAAUCUAUGAAAUCUACUUUUGUUUUCAUCCCCCCGUUUCUUUUCUCAUACUGGAAAAA